rnacentral:rRNA from 1 species
UACGGAGGAUGCAAGCGUUAUCCGGAAUUAUUGGGCGUAAAGCGUCCGUAGGUGGCUAAUCAAGUCUGCUGUCAAAGCGUGGAGCUUAACUCCAUACCGGCGGUGGAAACUGAUGAGCUAGAGUGCGAUAGGGGUAGCAGGAAUUCCCAGUGUAGCGGUGAAAUGCGUAGAGAUUGGGAAGAACACCAGCGGCGAAAGCGCUCUACUGGGCCAUAACUGACACUGAGGGACGAAAGCUAGGGGAGCGAAAGGG